rnacentral:rRNA from 1 species
GACGAACGCUGGCGGCGUGCCUAAUACAUGCAAGUAGAACGCUGAAGGAGGAGCUUGCUUCUCUGGAUGAGUUGCGAACGGGUGAGUAACGCGUAGGUAACCUGCCUGGUAGCGGGGGAUAACUAUUGGAAACGAUAGCUAAUACCGCAUAAUAGCAGUUGUUGCAUGACAACUGUUUGAAAGGUGCAAUUGCACCACUACCAGAUGGGCCUGCGUUGUAUUAGCUAGUUGGGGGGGUAACGGCUCACCAAGGCGACGAUGGGUAGCCGACCUGAGAGGGUGGACGGGCACAUUGGGACUGAGGGAGGGCCCAGACGGCAACGGGCGGCAGCGGUGGGGAAUAUUGCCCAAUGGGCCGAGGCGGGAUGCAGCGGCUUCGGGUGGGGGAAGACGGGCUUCGGGGUGUAAACUGUUUUGACCGUGGAAGAAGGGUUUCUGACGGUAGAUGGAGAAGAAGGGCCGGCUAACUACGUG